CCUUCUUCUAUUUCGUAAUUUUCAUUUAUGCAGUGCAAAGAUCAAUGAUGAAUUUAAAGGAUUCAGAGUUAUAGAAUCUUAAAGAAAUGAAUUUAUAUUUACAUAAUGUUUUUAGUAAUGUCAUGUAAAAUUCGAGAGAAAGGCUGCAAGUAUAGAAUGAAAUUAUUUGUCGAACAAUAUGAUCUGUCAGCGAUCUUCAAUAUUGCUUGCCGAUGGUAAAUUUGCCGAUCGGACAAAAUGUCUCAAACUGCAUAUUUUAUUUUAAAUGACGAUACCGGUCGAAGUCCUGCAUUUAUGCACGAAGUCAUUGUUUAGAGUCUGUAAACCUUAGAACGACAUGAAAGCAGAGAUGUUUCUUACAUACAUAUAUGCAGACUCUACGUUUCUAGAAGACUAAAUUUCACUGUUAAAUGAGAAACACAAAUGAUAAACCAAGAGAUUAUACUUUCUACGGGAUUCUAGCAGUGUUUCGCAGAUUACUAAUUAUUAGAUUUGCUAGAACACCUCUUACGAAAUUUCUGUUUUGCUUUCUAGAACACCGUAGAACUAAAUAUGAAAUAUCAUUCAAUAUUUUUUAACAGUUUAAAUUAUAAUAUAACUGUGUAUUAACUAUAAACCAGUUUUCCACAACAUACGAAACAUUUUUGAGCUAUUUGAAUAUUUAUAAGGAAUAUAAUCAACUGUUUGAUUAAUUGAACCUGAUUGAAUUUUUCUUUUUCUUUGUAUCAUUUCGAUUUAAAUUUAUUGGUAUUAUUUUGUGUUUA